UACGGAGGGAGCAAGCGUUACUCGGAAUUAUUGGGCGUAAAGGGCGCGUAGGCGAUUUGAAAAGUCUUGUGUGAAAGCCCCGAGCUUAACUCGGGAAGUGCACAAGAAACUGUUGAAUUUGAGUUCCGGAGAGGAAGGCAGAAUUCCCGGUGUAGCGGUGAAAUGCGUAGAUAUCGGGAAGAACACCUAUGGCGAAGGCAGCUCUCUGGGACGGUACUGACGCUGAGACGCGAAAGCGUGGGGAGCGAACAGG
rnacentral:rRNA from 1 species